rnacentral:lncRNA from 1 species
GAGCACACUUCUGCAGGCCUUCGUCCGCUCCUUUCGAAGAAAAACCUGAAGCGUCUUAUCCCCCCCCCCACCCAACCCUCCAAACCCCCAAUCUGCACAUACGCAGCUGAGCUGCACAGUCACCGCUGUUCCUUCCACGCUGGUUGCGCCAAGUGUUUUUGCACCGAAUCGGUUCCGUCUGUCCAAAGCGAAAUUCCUUGGGUUUCUUUUAUUCUUCCUGUCGGUAACAUGUGGAUGAACGGUGUCUAUGCAACAAAGGGAGGACUGUCUUCAUCCCGCUUCUGAUUACAUAGAUCCGACACCUAAAAUUGCAGGAGCAGCGUCGCCAGGGGGAGGAGGUUCAACCAGUAAGCAGUAGGUGUUUCUUUCUGUGUUUAGUUGUGCCACGUGUCCGUCGUGCUGCGACGGUUUCGGGUUUCCAGUGUUUCGGCAGGAAUCUCCGAGGCCGCACGCGACUUCCUUGGAGUCUCUACGUUUUCCGUGAGGUACUGUUCGGGUCGCACACUCUCGGGAGAAUGGCCCAGCGUCAGUGCACAGCUGAAGACAACUCGCGCGGAGAACACGGCGUGUGGCGCUUGGCGGGCCCUACGCUUCUGUGUGAAUAUGUGCCUUCAUCCGCGGUUCUUUUCUGUGACAGUGAGCACCGUAACAAACCACUAGCCGCACUGUGUUCGCAAGGCGACGGUUCUGCAAAAGAACAUCGUCCAUGAACCCCUAGCUGGG